UGGCACAGGACGCAGUGCGGUGCGGCU
rnacentral:sRNA from 1 species